CUUUUUAUUGUAGUUCAGAACGGGGCGCGGUCACCCUCGGUCUCCUCCAGAGGCUGGGCGCAGUUUUGCAGGGCCAGGGAUGACGUCUCGCUAGGGUCACAAGUCCCAAAGGACGCCAGAUGAGUGGGACGGAGUCUGCGGAGUCUUUAAAUAGAGAAGGGGGCUGGGGAGGGAGAGGCGGACCGCGCUCUAGCGCACCAUGUAUUCCUUGCGCUUGUUGAGACGAACUUGGCAGAAGGAGAAGCCUCCGAGGAGGAGGUAGAGGCCCGCGGCGAUGAAACAGUUGUAGCUGACUUGCUCGUACAGGCUCCUCCCCUGUCUAAUGUUGGCCCA
rnacentral:lncRNA from 1 species